GACGUAGGGCGCGAGCGUUAUCCGGAAUUAUUGGGCGUAAAGAGCUCGUAGGCGGUUUGUCGCGUCUGCUGUGAAAACCCGAGGCUCAACCUCGGGCCUGCAGUGGGUACGGGCAGACUAGAGUGCGGUAGGGGAGAUUGGAAUUCCUGGUGUAGCGGUGAAAUGCGCAGAUAUCAGGAGGAACACCGAUGGCGAAGGCAGUGGGCUGGGCCGGCACUGACGCUGAGGAGCGAAAGCGUGGGGAGCGAACAGG
rnacentral:rRNA from 1 species